rnacentral:rRNA from 1 species
AUUGAACGCUGGCGGCAUGCCUUACACAUGCAAGUCGAACGGCAGCACGGGGGCAACCCUGGUGGCGAGUGGCGAACGGGUGAGUAAUACAUCGGAACGUGCCCAGUAGUGGGGGAUAGCCCGGCGAAAGCCGGAUUAAUACCGCAUACGACCUACGGGUGAAAGCGGGGAGUCNCAAGACCUCGCGCUAUUGGAGCGGCCGAUGUCAGAUUAGGUUGUUGGUGGGGUAAAAGCCUACCAAGCCGACGAUCUGUAGCUGGUCUGAGAGGACGACCAGCCACACUGGGACUGAGACACGGCCCAGACUCCUACGGGAGGGCAGCAGUGGGGGAAUUUUGGACAAUGGGCGCAAGCCUGAUCCAGCCAUGCCGCGUGCGGGAAGAAGGCCUCGGUUGUAA